GCUUACCUCCGUACAUGCCAUCGUUUGGGAAAAGCAAAAACCGUCCGGAAAACCGGACGGUUUUUUGCGGCUUUGAAU
rnacentral:sRNA from 1 species